rnacentral:rRNA from 1 species
UACGUAGGAUCCAAGCGUUGUCCGGAUUUACUGGGUGUAAAGGGUGCGCAGGCGGACUUGUUAGUCAGAGGUGAAAUCUCACGGCUCAACCGUGAAACUGCCUUUGAUACUGCAGAUCUUGAAUUGGGGAGAGAGUUGUGGAAUUCCGAGUGUAGCAGUGAAAUGUGUAGAUAUUCGGAAGAACACCAGUGGCGAAGGCAGCAACUUGGCCCCAGAUUGACGCUCAGGCACGAAAGCAUGGGGAUCAAACAGG